GGAUUCCCCUAGUAACUGCGAGUGAAGCGGGAAAAGCUCAAAUUUAAAAUCUGGCAGUCUCUGGCUGUCCGAGUUGUAAUCUAGAGAAGUAAUGCCCGUGCUGGACCGUGUAUAAGUCUCCUGGGAUGGGGCGUCAUAGAGGGUGAGAAUCCCGUCUUUGACACGGACUACCAGUGCAUUGUGGUAUGCUCUCAAAGAGUCGAGUUGUUUGGGAAUGCAGCUCAAAAUGGGUGGUAAAUUCCAUCUAAAGCUAAAUAUUGGCGAGAGACCGAUAGCGAACAAGUACCGUGAGGGAAAGAUGAAAAGAACUUUGGAAAGAGAGUUAAACAGUACGUGAAAUUGCUGAAAGGGAAACGCUUGAAGUCAGUCGCAUUGGCCGGGAAUCAGCCUUGCUUUUGCAUGGUGUACUUUCUGGUUGAUGGGUCAGCAUCAAUUUUGACCGCUGGAAAAAGGCCUGGGGAAUGUGGCAGCUUCGGCUGUGUUAUAGCCCCUAGUUGCAUACAGUGGUUGGGAUUGAGGAACUCAGCACGCCGCAAGGCCGGGUUUCGACCACGUUCGUGCUUAGGAUGCUGGCAUAAUGGCUUUAAGCGACCCGUCUUGAAACACGGACCAAGGAGUCUAACAUGCCUGCGAGUAUUUGGGUGGAAAACUCAAGUGCGUAAUGAAAGUGAAAGUUGAGAUCCCUGUCGUGGGGAGCAUCGACGCCCGGACCAGAACUUUUGGGACGGAUCCGCGGUGGAGCAUGUAUGUUGGGACCCGAAAGAUGGUGAACUAUGCCUGAAUAGGGUGAAGCCAGAGGAAACUCUGGUGGAGGCUCGUAGCGAUUCUGACGUGCAAAUCGAUCGUCAAAUUUGGGUAUAGGGGCGAAAGACUAAUCGAA
rnacentral:rRNA from 1 species